GGGGGUGACCGGUUUCGACAGGUUGACGCAGGAGCGCGAAGCGCAGGCGGGGGUUGACCGGCUGGCCCCCUUAUCAAGCCGAUCAAAACAGAACUGCCAAAAACGAUAGAUUCGAACUGGCCCUCGCCGCUUAACUUUUAAGCGAUGAGUGAGUAUCCGCGAUCUUCCGGUAGUGGACUCGUUAAACCUUUUGACGGGUGGCCUUAAGCCUGCCGAAUGAAGGAACGGAAUAAGACGCCGCCACGUCUCCUAACGGCGUCCGAAAUCAGGAGAGAGAGUCUUAAACAGGGUCGUCCGCUCUAAUCCCUGUAGAGACUGACGCAAAGCGGACCAAGCCUGUGGAUGAACUUCCACUUCACGCUUCUUGGACGUGGGUUCGACUCCCACCACCUCCACCA
rnacentral:tmRNA from 1 species